AUUUAAAUAGCUUAUAAUAUUAGAGCAUAAUAUUGAAGAUAUUAAGGAGAUAAGUUUAUCUUUAAAUA
rnacentral:tRNA from 1 species